rnacentral:rRNA from 1 species
UCUGGUGAUUAGAGCGUAAUGGAACCACCCGUUCUCAUUCCGAACACGGAAGUGAAACGUUACAGCGCUGACGAUACUGCCUGGGUGACUGGGUGUGGAAAAUAGGCCAUCGCCAGAC